GGCUGUCGUCAGCUCGUGUCGUGAGAUGUUGGGUUAAGUCCCGCAACGAGCGCCACCCCUGCCUCUAGUUGCCAUCAAGUUUA
rnacentral:rRNA from 1 species